GAUGAACGCUGGCGGCGUGCCUAACACAUGCAAGUCGAGCGAUUUACUUCGGUAAGGAGCGGCGGACGGGUGAGUAACGCGUGGGUAACCUGCCCUGUACACACGGAUAACAUACCGAAAGGUAUGCUAAUACGAGAUAAUAUGCUUUUAUCACAUGGUAGAAGUAUCAAAGCUUUUGCGGUACAGGAUGGACCCGCGUCUGAUUAGCUAGUUGGUAAGGUAACGGCUUACCAAGGCGACGAUCAGUAGCCGACCUGAGAGGGUGAUCGGCCACAUUGGAACUGAGACACGGUCCAAACUCCUGCGGGAGGCAGCAGUGGGGAAUAUUGCACAAUGGGCGAAAGCCUGAUGCGGCAACGCCGCGUGAGCGAUGAAGGCCUUCGGGUCGUAAAGCUCUGUCCUCAAGGAAGAUAAUGACGGUACUUGAGGAGGAAGCCCCGGCUAACUACGUGCCAGCAGCCGCCGUAA
rnacentral:rRNA from 1 species